UACGUAGGGUGCGAGCGUUAAUCGGAAUUACUGGGCGUAAAGCGUGCGCAGGCGGUUUUGUAAGCCAGAUGUGAAAUCCCCGGGCUUAACCUGGGAAUGGCAUUUGGGACUGCAAGGCUCGAGUGCGGCAGAGGGGGGUGGAAUUCCACGUGUAGCAGUGAAAUGCGCAGAUAUCGGGAAGAACACCCGUGGCGAAGGCGGCUCUCUGGGACGGUACUGACGCUGAGACGCGAAAGCGUGGGGAGCGAACAGG
rnacentral:rRNA from 1 species